rnacentral:lncRNA from 1 species
AACCCUAAACCCUAAAUCUGAACUUAAAACAUCAACUCUAAACCCUAAAUCAUCAACUCUAAACCCUAAACCCUGAAACAUCAACUUUAAACCCUAAACCAGAAACAUCAACUCUAAACCCUAAACCCUAAACCUUCAAAUCUAAACCCUAAAACAUCAACUCUAAACCUUAAACGUAAACCCUAAACCCUAUAUUUUUCUAAAAUUCGAACCCUAAACUCCAAAACCCUAAACCUUCAAAUCUAAACCCUAAAACAUCAAUUCUAAGGUUUUAGGGUCUAGAGUUUAGGGUUUAGAGUUGAUGUUUUAGGGUUUAGGGAUAAUAUUUUGGGGUUUAGAAUUGAAGUUUAUGGUUUAGGGUUUAGAGUUGAUGUUUUAGGGUUUUGAGUCGUAGGUUUAGGGUUUAGGGUUUAGGGUUUAGAUGUGAUGUUUCGGGUUUAGUAUUGAUGUUUCAGGGUUCAGGGUUCAGGGUUCGUAUUUCAAAAAAAGAAGAGUUUAAGAUUGAUGGCUUAGGGUUUAAAGUUGAGUUUUAGGGUUUAGGGUUUGAAUUUCGAAAUAGUAUAAUUCAAAAAAAAUUAUAAAAAUCUAAAUAAAUUAU